AUUGAACGCUGGCGGCAGGCCUAACACAUGCAAGUCGAACGAGUGGCGGACGGGUGAGUAAUGUCUGGGAAACUGCCCGAUGGAGGGGGAUAACUACUGGAAACGGUAGCUAAUACCGCAUACCAUCGGAUGUGCACAGAUGGGAUUAGAUAGUAGGUGGGGUAACGGCUCACCUAGGCGACGAUCAAUAGCUGGUCUGAGAGGAUGACCAGCCACAGGGGAAAUGCGAGACGGGCCAGACGCGUCCGGGAGGCAGCAGUGGGGACUAUUGCACAAUGGGCGCAAGCCUGAUGCAGCCAUGCCGCGUGUAUGAAGAAGGCCUUCGGGUUGUAAAGUACUUUCAGCGAGGAUGCGUUACUCGCAGAAGAAGCACCGGCUAACUCCGUGCCAGCAGCCGCGGUAAUUC
rnacentral:rRNA from 1 species